UUUUAAUUUUUGUUUAAUUUUCAUAGCCGUUUAUUCAGCGCGUCAAGUGCUUGGGUCAACAGGGACAAAGCGGCUGCACAACACAAAAGACUCAGGCAACAAACUUGCCGUCGGUUCUGGCAUGCAUUUAACAGUAUAAAAAAGACAGCUUGCGAUGGCAACCAAGACAAUGGCAGAAAAAAAGACGCCCCUGGGAGCAGCAGCCGAAGCUGUAGCUGAAGCUGCAGCAACUGCGACUGCGACGGCAGCUGGCAACUGGCAACUGCGGAAGCAAAUGCUGCGACAAACAUGAAAACCUGGCCAAGUUAAUGACAUUGAAAAGCCAUUGAAUGCGCGCAGCAGCUGGCAUUAGAGAGAUGCCAGUUCCUUGAACUUGCGCCACAGAACAGUCAGAACCUUAAGCUGGAGUCACAGUCGCAGCGACAGCCACAUCUUGUGGUUUGGCAUCGCAAAGUAAUUGCAGUGCCCAGAAUCCAGCACAACACCUCGCGUGCGAUUGCCCGCUCUGCGGUUCAUUCCAGGCAGAUUCCUAUACGUUUUUUGCACUUCUUUUGUGGCCCAGACACGGCGUGUGCUCGCCUCGCACGUCCACGUUAUGGACCCGGCUUAAAUGGAGUGGGCUCUGGAGAUGGCGUGUUGCUUUGGUUUAGUUCAACGAACCUUCGAGCAAUUCGCAUCAGUUGCUUUGCUUCUAUUCCUAUUCUACAGCAUGUGCUGCUGGGCAAAGGAAUUGCAUGCAACUUGGAGCCGGUUUUGGUUUUUUUUUUUUCUCUAUUUUCCUCUUAGUCGGUUGCCCCAAAGCUCCAAGUUGUUGUCGCUGUCGUCGUUGCCUGGGCUGGCACAUAAAAUGUUUAAUGGCUUUCUAUUAUGUAUAAUUUUGUAAAAUGCACAACUGCAUCAUCAAAUGGAGCAGCUCUCUAAGCUAAAUCUAUUCUAGAGAAGGUUCAA